rnacentral:tRNA from 3 species
GGGCCUUUAGCUCAGUUGGUUAGAGCAGUGGACUCAUAAUCCAUUUGUCCGGGGUUCAAGUCCCUGAAGGCCCA